rnacentral:rRNA from 1 species
UGACUGACCGAUAGUGAACCAGUACCGUGAGGGAAAGGCGAAAAGAACCCCGGCGAGGGGAGUGAAAAAGAACCUGAAACCGUGUACGUACAAGCAGUGGGAGCCCCACCACUAAGCCAGUGGUGAACUCCACAUACGCAUCCUUUGCUGAGGAUACGGUUAACGGAGCGAAAGCGACGUUCAACCGCAAAAGAAGCAGAGGGGGCUUAGUGGUGGGGUGACUGCGUACCUUUUGUAUAAUGGGUCAGCGACUUAUAUUCUGUAGCAAGGUUAACCGUAUAGGGGAGCCGGAGGGAAACCGAGUCUUAAUUGGGCGUUAAGUUGCAGGGUAUAGACCCGAAACCCGGUGAUCUAGCAUGGGCAGGUUGAAGGUUGGGUAACACUAACUGGA